rnacentral:rRNA from 1 species
UAAGGAAUAUUGGUCAAUGGACGCAAGUCUGAACCAGCCAUGCCGCGUGGAGGAUUAAGGCCCUCUGGGUUGUAAACUCCUUUUAUCUGGGAAGAAAUGUACUUUUUCUUGAGUACUUGACGGUACCAGAGGAAUAAGCACCGGCUAACUCCGUGCCAGCAGCCGCGGUAAUACGAAGGGGGCUAGCGUUGUUCGGAAUUACUGGGCGUAAAGCGCGCGCAGGCGGCUAUCCAAGUCAGUGGUGAAAGCCCGGAGCUCAACUCCGGAACUGCCAUUGAAACUGUUUAGCUUGAGGACGAGAGAGGUGAGUGGAAUUCCUGGUGUAGCGGUGAAAUGCGUAGAUAUCAGGAGGAACACCGGCGGUGUAGACGGCUUGCUAGACCAUAACUGACGCUGAGGCACGAAAGCGUGGGUAGCAAACA